rnacentral:rRNA from 1 species
AUCUUGGAGAGUUUGAUCCUGGCUCAGGACGAACGCUGGCGGCGUGCUUAACACAUGCAAGUCGAACGAAGAGCGAUGGAAGCUUGCUUCUAUCAAUCUUAGUGGCGAACGGGUGAGUAACGCGUAAUCAACCUGCCCUUCAGAGGGGGACAACAGUUGGAAACGACUGCUAAUACCGCAUACGAUCCAAUCUCGGCAUCGAGGAUGGAUGAAAGGUGGCCUCUAUUUAUAAGCUAUCACUGAAGGAGGG